GGUUGAAGGCUGGGUAACACCAGCUGGAGGACCGAACCCGUGAACGUUGAAAAGUUCUGGGAUGACUUGUGGAUAGGGGUGAAAGGCCAAUCAAACCUGGACAUAGCUGGUUCUCCGCGAAAUCUAUUUAGGUAGAGCGUCAGACGAAUUCCUUGGGGGGUAGAGCACUGGAUGGAUGCGGGGGUCGCGAGAUCUACCAAUUCUAACCAAACUCCGAAUACCCAAGAGAACUAUCUGGCAGACACACGGCGGGUGCUAACGUCCGUCGUGAAAAGGGAAACAACCCUAACCAUCAUCUAAGGCCCCCAAGUCAUGGCUAAGUGGGAAACGAUGUGGGAUUGCUUUGACAACCAGGAUGUUGGCUUAGAAGCAGCCAUCAUUUAAAGAAAGCGUAACAGCUCACUGGUCAAGCGAUCCUGCGCGGAAAAUGUAACGGGGCUCAAGCCAUGCGCCGAAGGUAUGGGUGUGCGUAAGCACGCGGUAGCGGAGCGUUCCGUAAGCCUGUGAAGGUUGGUCGUGAGACCAGCUGGAGGUAUCGGAAGUGAGAAUGCUGACAUGAGUAGCGACAAAGAGUGUGAGAAACACUCUCGCCGAAAGUCCAAGGGUUCCUGCGCAAGGUUAAUCCACGCAGGGUGAGCCGGCCCCUAAGGCGAGGCCGAAAGGCGUAGUCGAUGGGAACCACGUUAAUAAUCGUGGGCCAGCGGGUGGUGACGGAUGGGAAAGCGUGUAGGCUCUUAUCGGAUUGAGCCUGCUGUGGACCCGUUCCAGGAAAUAGCCCCCGCGUUAGACCGUACCCCAAACCGACACAGGUGGACAGGUAGAGUAUACCCAGGCGCUUGAGAGAAUGGUGUUGAAGGAACUCGGCAAAUUGCCCUCGUAACUUCGGAAGAAGAGGGCCCCGUUCAUGCGCAAGCAAGGGCGGGGGGCACAGACCAGGGGGUAGCGACUGUUUACUAAAAACACAGGGCUCUGCGAAGCCACACAAGGCGACGUAUAGGGUCUGACGCCUGCCCGGUGCCGGAAGGUUAAGAGGAGAGGUGCAAGCCUUGAAUCGAAGCCCCGGUAAACGGCGGCCGUAACAAUAA
rnacentral:rRNA from 1 species